rnacentral:rRNA from 1 species
GAGUUUGAUCUUGGCUCAGGACGAACGCUGGCGGCGCGCCUAACACAUGCAAGUCGAACGGAGUUUGUUGGAUUGAUCCUUCGGGAGAUUGAUAGCAAACUGAGUGGCGGACGGGUGAGUAACACGUGAGCAAUCUGCCUUUAGGAGGGGGAUAACAGUCGGAAACGGCUGCUAAUACCGCAUAAUACGUUUGGGAGGCAUCUCCCUAACGUCAAAGAUUUUAUCGCCUUUAGAUGAGCUCGCGUCUGAUUAGCUAGUUGGCGGGGUAACGGCCCACCAAGGCGACGAUCAGUAGCCGGACUGAGAGGUUGAACGGCCACAUUGGGACUGAGACACGGCCCAGACUCCUACGGGAGGCAGCAGUGGGGAAUAUUGCGCAAUGGGGGCAACCCUGACGCAGCAACGCCGCGUGAUUGAAGAAGGCC